rnacentral:rRNA from 1 species
UGGGGAAUUUUGCACAAUGGGGGAAACCCUGAUGCAGCGACGCCGCGUGAUUUAGAAGGCCUUCGGGUUGUAAAAAUCUUUUCUAUGGGAAGAAAAUGACAGUACCAUAGGAAUAAGGACAGGCUAAUUACGUGCCAGCAGCCGCGGUAAUACGUAAGGUCCGAGCGUUGUCCGGAAUCAUUGGGCGUAAAGGGUACGUAGGCGGGUAAGCAAGUUAGAAGUGAAAUCCUAUAGCUCAACUAUAGUAAGCUUUUAAAACUGCUCAUCUUGAGGUAUGGAAGGGAAAGUGGGAUUCCUAGUCUAGCGGUGAAAUGCGCAGAUAAUAGGGAGAAUACCGGUGGCGAAGGCGACUUUCUGGGCAUAACCUGACGCUGAGGUACGAAAGCGUGGGUAGCAAACAGG